ensembl:ncRNA F46E10.13 ncRNA
CUGUUUCAACGAUCAAAAUGGGAGGAAAAAGCCAUAGAAACGCCUGGGGACAGGUCGUUAUCCAACACGGAAGGAAUAAGGAUUGCUGGAAUGAAUGGUCAACACACCGCCUCUUCCUCGUACCCUCAUUUCGCUACUUCUCGCGAU